rnacentral:ncRNA from 2 species
GGCUUUUUUAGCGAUGAUGGUUCUUAGACGCCCAAGGCUGACGAGAUGAAAAGGGAACACGGUGCGGCGUAGCCAGUAGGCACCAAAUCCGUGACUGCCCCCGCAACUGUGAGCGGUGAGCGACCCCGAAAACACCACUGGGCAUAUCGUCCGGGAAGGUUCGGGAGAGUUACGACCCGCGAGUCAGGAGACCUGCCAUCACCGGCGCAGAUGC